rnacentral:tmRNA from 1 species
GGGGGUGACCAGGUCUCGACAGGGCAAGUCGGAACUUCGGUUGCGUGCCGGGGAUGAUCGUUGGCCCCGUUAAAUAUCGAUCAAAAACUAACUGCGAAACCUAAUUUCGCCUACGCGGCCUAAGUUAUUCCGCGUCGCUGAAGCACCGAUGUCUGCUGAGUGUGGAAGCGUCGAUUAGCAGAUCCUGCUGUGAACCGGACCCUCGGGGACACAACCUUGUAUCAUCAUGAAGGUAAGUCGUUUGUCAGCCUGCCAAUCGGCGUGCAGACGAUAAGAUAAUAGAUUGGCUACGCACGUAGACAUCGCUGUGAAGCUGUCUUGGACGCGGGUUCAACUCCCGCCACCUCCACCA